GGUUUUUCCAAUGCCUGCUGGGCAUCAGCACAUGCUGGGGAAAAAGGAACGAAUGAAGAUGUGGGUAAUGCUGCUCUUCCUGGUACCGAUGAUGCUCAUCCUGCCCAGUGAUGGAAGAUUUGGAAACCCAUACAACACCAAAGUUAUCCUGACUCAUUUGAUGGGGAAACCCUGUGACUGCCAGGGUGGAACAUAGUCAGUAUCUCCCUUUAGUGGACAGUCAUACAACAGGUAGAUUGUGAUACGAAGAUAGCAGUCAAUAUGACUGACACAUCAGGAUCCAUUUUUUCAAAUUCCAAUAAGUGGAUAAGCAUAAAGAAGCCCAAGGUUAUCCCCCAGGUUGAUGCGAAGCCAGGACCCUGUCCUUGCACUGCUUUCUGUCUGACAAUGCAUUUGGCCUGCUAUGGCAUUGCCCAAAUGUGCACCAGUAGUUCCACUAAAAAGACUCACUGGACCUGGGUAUGAAAUUUAGUGCUCUCUGGAGGUGAGAGGGGUUGGAUUGCGAGAGAUGGAGGGUGUGCCUCUGCACCUUGCUUUGGAGCCCCAGGUAAAACUGUUUGCUGGGAACUUGCCCCCCUAUUGGUUAUUCAGAUGGGGGAGUUUAACAUCAUGUUAGGGAACAAAACGUUCAUAAAAAGAACAACUUGUUUUGGACUAGUACCCAGAGGUCAACUAUCACCCUGUUGUUCUCCCUGAAAAUCAGGGUGAGCUAGUGCUCGACCCCCAUAUUGAGUCUCUGCUACAAAUGGUCUUUGCCUUACUAAAUCAAAUGACUCCUUCCUUUGCACAGGAUUGCUGGCUUUGCCUCCAAUCUGGACAUCCUUGGCUGCUUGCAGUGGUCUCUAAUGAUACAGUCACAGAUGCCCCUAGUACUAUAAAAGAUUGCUCAGCCACAUUUCCCAUCCAUGUAAAGCUCCUCCCAAUGAAACUUUCUGGGACUUGUAUUUGGACCCCGACUACUACUGAUAAAUCCACUGUAGAUGUAGGCCACAUUGAUCCAUCUUUCUGUAAUUCAAAUACAACCAAAUCUAAUGCUCAA